CCUCUAAACCCCCCUCAAGCCCGCUCCGGCGGCACCAAGGUUGACCUCGGAUCAGGUAG
rnacentral:rRNA from 1 species